CAGAACUGGUCGGUGAUUUAGGUAGUUUCCUGUUGUUGGGAUCCAGCUUUCUCUCGACAGCACGACACUGCCUUCAUUACUUCAGUUGAA
rfam:Equus caballus chromosome 4, whole genome shotgun sequence.